AACCACUGAUGACCUUUCUAUUUUUUUCUGACACCUCGUAUGAGCACUGCCUAGCAGUGCUUGAUUAUGAAUUAUAGUCUGAGGUUC